rnacentral:rRNA from 1 species
GAAGGCAUAUAUUAGCAUAAAGACUCGUCUUUAGCGCUAAUUGUUAAAUAUGCUAGUCCUUUCAUGAUUAUGUGAUAGGUGGUGCAUGGCCGUUCUUAGUUCGUGGAGUGAUCUGUCUGCUUAAUUGCGUUUCACUAAGGGCCCAUAAAUUCAAGGUAUGUUAGCAAAUGCUGCUCUAUUGACCCCUAAUAGGCUUAACUGUCUUUAGCGCGUGUCUCUACGAGUUCUUUAAAGCACUGCGCAUGCUGUUGGGUCCUGAAAGCAACGAACGUGACCGCAACGUCUUGUUGCCUCUCUAUAAUACCUUCUUAUUUUUAAUAAGAGUAUUUACCUGAGGCUAUUUUAAAACUAGACGGACCGCUGUUUCUUUCUUAAACCAGAGGAAGGUUGCGGCAAUAACAGGUCUGUGAUGCCCUUAGAUGUUCCGG